rnacentral:rRNA from 1 species
ACCUCGGAUCAGGUAGGGAUACCCGCUGAACUUAAGCAUAUCAAUAAGCGGAGGAAANGAAACCAACAGGGAUUGCCUCAGUAACGGCGAGUGAAGCGGCAAGAGCUCAAAUUUGAAAGCUGGCUCCUUCGGGGCCCGCGUUGUAAUUUGUAGAGGAUGCUUCGGGUGUGGCGCCGGUCUAAGUUCUUUGGAACAAGACGUCAUAGAGGGUGAGAAUCCCGUAUGUGACUGGUUGCCUACGCUCAUGUGAAGCUCCUUCGACGAGUCGAGUUGUUUGGGAAUGCAGCUCAAAAUGGGAGGUGUAUUUCUUCUAAAGCUAAAUACUGGCCAGAGACCGAUAGCGCACAAGUAGAGUGAUCGAAAGAUGAAAAGCACUUUGGAAAGAGAGUUAAACAGUACGUGAAAUUGUUGAAAGGGAAGCGCUUGCAAUCAGACUUG